GACGAACCGAGCGAACGUUGUUCGGAAUCACUGGGCUUAAAGGGCGCGUAGGCGGGCUGUCAAGUCUGGGGUGAAAUCCCGCGGCUCAACCGUGGAACUGCCUCAGAUACUGACGGCCUCGAGGGAGGUAGGGGCGAGCGGAACUGUGAGUGGAGCGGUGAAAUGCGUUGAUAUUCACAGGAACUCCGGUGGCGAAGGCGGCUCGCUGGACCUCUUCUGACGCUGAGGCGCGAAAGCUAGGGGAGCAAACGGGAUUAGAAACCCCCGUAGUCC
rnacentral:rRNA from 1 species